rnacentral:rRNA from 1 species
UACGUAGGCAGCAAGCGUUGUUCGGAAUCACUGGGCUUAAAGGGCGCGUAGGCGGCAAAUCAAGUCCGGGGUGAAAGCCCUCAGCUCAACUGGGGAAGUGCCUCGGAUACUGGCUUGCUGGAGGGAGGUAGGGGUCGAGGGAACUUCUGGUGGAGCGGUGAAAUGCGUUGAUAUCAGAAGGAACACCUGUGGCGAAAGCGGCGCACUGGACCACAACUGACGCUGAGGCGCGAAAGCUAGGGGAGCAAACAGG